GAUGAAGAACGUAGCGAAAUGCGAUAAGUAAUGUGAAUUGCAGAAUUCAGUGAAUCAUCGAAUCUUUGAACGCACAUUGCGCCCGGUAGUAUUCUGCCGGGCAUGCCUGUUCGAGCGUCAUUUCAACCAUCAAGCCCUGCUUGUGUUGGGGUCCUGCGGCUGCCCGCAGGCCCUGAAAACCAGUGGCGGGCUCGCUAGUCACACCGAGCGCAGUAGCACAUCUCGCUCAGGGCGUGCGGCGGGCUCCAGCCGUUAAAGCACCCACCUUUCGCAAGGUUGACCUCGGAUCAGGUAGGAAUACCCGCUGAACUUAAGCAUAUCAAUAAGCGGAGGA
rnacentral:misc_RNA from 1 species